GCACUGCAAAAGCACGUUCGAGUGUCUCUCUCAUGGGCUGCGUCUUCUUCCUUGAGGCAGCUUUCCGCCCUCCAACCAGUGAUGAGGAACUCCGACUCCUCCCAAAUACCAAUCGUGAUGCCGAUUUGGUAGAGCCGGCAGCUGCGCUGACCGUUCGUUGGAUUCAUGAUCCUUACUUCCUUCCUUCCUCGGUCGCGGCCGCGUGACUUUGGACAGAUUAAAUCUUCUGCAAAAUGAUGGUUCUCGAUUCUCUAUCAUCUCCUCAUAGGAGAUCACAGAACUAGGUUUUUCUGACAUCCUCUUCCAAGUAGCUUGGUAGCUGGUUUAUUCUUUUGGAGCGGCACAAGUUCCUCUUGACGAUGCUAGCUCUACUGGCAUUCCUAUGCGCCAUCUAUCUGUACUUCGCAGUUACGUUGGGGGCUGCAGGUUCAUGCCCAGGAAUGUCAGCAGCCGAAAAGGCACUUUGUCAGGCCAAAGCUUCUUUGCACAAGGGGAAAUUGAAAUUCUUUUGACUAGCAUGUGGUUUUGGAGCAUCCAUGAAAGGGAUGCCUCUAAAAUCCAUAAACAAUUCAUAAUGUUUCAUUUGUCUUGUUGAAGAGUAUGUGUGUGUUUCUAGUGACACAGUUUGUGGUUGAUGUGUUGGCUAUGAUAAGGGUGUUCUUCAUUUGUAGAACAUGAUAUUCCUAGAUAAAAAUGGAUCUUCUUCUUGUUGCUCUGUUCAUAGAGAGUCACAUUCUUCA